UGGGGAAUUGUUCGCAAUGGGCGCAAGCCUGACGACGCAACGCCGCGUGGAGGAUGAAGGUCUUCGGAUUGUAAACUCCUGUUGCUCGGGACGAAAAGCUUCGACCUAAUACGUCGAAGUCUGACGGUACCGAGUGAGGAAGCCCCGGCUAACUCUGUGCCAGCAGCCGCGGUAAUACAGAGGGGGCAAGCGUUGUUCGGAAUUACUGGGCGUAAAGGGCGCGUAGGCGGCCUGCUAAGUCGAACGUGAAAUCCCUGGGCUCAACCCAGGAACUGCGUCCGAUACUGGUUGGCUUGAAUCCGGGAGAGGGAUGUGGAAUUCCAGGUGUAGCGGUGAAAUGCGUAGAUAUCUGGAGGAACACCGGUGGCGAAGGCGACAUCCUGGACCGGCAUUGACGCUGAGGCGCGAAAGCCAGGGGAGCAAACGGG
rnacentral:rRNA from 1 species